UACGAAGGGGGCUAGCGUUGCUCGGAAUCACUGGGCGUAAAGCGCACGUAGGCGGAUUGUUAAGUCAGGGGUGAAAUCCUGGAGCUCAACUCCAGAACUGCCUUUGAUACUGAGGAGCUUGGAGUCCGGGAGAGGUGAGUGGAACUGCGAGUGUAGAGGUGAAAUUCGUAGAUAUUCGCAAGAACACCAGUGGCGAAGGCGGCUCACUGGCCCGGUACUGACGCUGAGGUGCGAAAGCGUGGGGAGCAAACAGG
rnacentral:rRNA from 1 species